rnacentral:rRNA from 1 species
UACGUAGGGUGCGAGCGUUGUCCGGAAUUAUUGGGCGUAAAGAGCUUGUAGGCGGUCUGUCGCGUCUGCUGUGAAAAUCCGGGGGCUCAACCCCGGACUUGCAGUGGGUACGGGGCAGACUAGAGUGUGGUAGGGGGAGACUGGAAUUCCUGGUGGUAGCGGUGAAAUGCGCAGAUAUCAGGAGGGAACACCGAUGGCGAAGGAGGUCACGUGGG